GACGAACGCUGGCGGCGUGCCUAAUACAUGCAAGUCGAACGAACAGACCCUGCGCUUGCUCCUCUCUCGAUAGCGGCGGACGGGUGAGUAACGCGUGGAAAACCUACCUAAAAGACUGGGAUAACUUGGGAAAACCGGAGCUAAUACCGGAUAAUAUCUUGAACCACAUGGUUCAAUAGUGAAUGACGGUUUUUCUGGCACUUAUAGAUGGAUCCGCGCUGCAUUAGCUGGUUGGUAAGGUAACGGCUUACCAAGGCAACGCUGCGUAGACGACACGUGAGAGGGAGCGGCGCCACAGGAGGUGAGACACGCGCCAGAGUCCUACGGGAGGGACCAGAAUGGAAUCGUCCGCAAUAGGCGCGAACUUGUCACAGCGACGCCGCGCGAGUGAUGAAAGGGUUCGGAUCGUGAAAAUCUCUUAUUAGGGAAAAACAAAUGUGUAAGUAACUAUGCACGUCUUGACGGUACCUAAUAAGAAAGCCACGGCUAACUACGUG
rnacentral:rRNA from 1 species